rnacentral:rRNA from 1 species
CAGCAGCCGCGGGAAUACGGAGGGUGCAAGCGUUAAUCGGAAUUACUGGGCGUAAAGCGUGCGUAGGCGGUUCGUUAAGUCUGUUGUGAAAGCCCCGGGCUCAACCUGGGAAUGGCAAUGGAUACUGGCGAGCUAGAGUGUGUCAGAGGAUGGUGGAAUUCCCGGUGUAGCGGUGAAAUGCGUAGAGAUCGGGAGGAACAUCAGUGGCGAAGGCGGCCAUCUGGGACAACACUGACGCUGAGGCACGAAAGCGUGGGGAGCAAACAGGAUUAGAUACCCCCGUAGUCCCUGUCUCUUAUAC